CAAGAAAAUGAUUUUGAAUCAAUGAGUUUCUCGGACGAAGAAGACCGCAAUACGUGCAUAAUUGCUCUGAAAAUAGAAGUGAAAGAGCGUUUGUUGAAUGCGUGACCGUUAGGAUUUGUAUUAAAUUCUAGAGAAAUUUUCAGGAAAUAGGA
rnacentral:rRNA from 1 species